rnacentral:tRNA from 1 species
GGAAAGCUUGCGAGUUGGUCUAAGGCGGCAGAUUAAGGUUCUGGUCCGAAAGGGCGUGGGUUCAAAUCCCACUCUCAACA